ensembl:lncRNA
GUAAAAAUAGACAACAUCAACAACAAAUUAUAAUAAUAAAAAAUAAAUAAAUGUCUCUUCACAGCAAGGUGUUAUUUCAUCUGGUUUAUCAACCUGGUUUUAUUGCCAGCUUGAGUUACCUGCGGUAGGUAGCCUAGUGGUUAGAGCUAGGUAGCCUAGUGGUUAGAGCAGGUAGCCUAGUGGUUAGAGCAGGUAGCCUAGUGGUUAGAGCAGGUAGCCUAGUGGUUAGAGCAGGUAGCCUAGUGGUUAGAGCCAGGUAGCCUAGUGGUUAGAGCCAGGUAGCCUAGUGGUUAGAGCCAGGUAGCCUAGUGGUUAGAGCCAGGUAGCCUAGUGGUUAGAGCAGGUAGCCUAGUGGUUAGAGCCAGGUAGCCUAGUGGUUAGAGCCAGGUAGCCUAGUGGUUAGAGCAGGUAGCCUAGUGGUUAGAGCAGGCAGCCUAGUGGUUAGAGCAGGUAGCCUAGUGGUUAGAGCAGGUAGCCUAGUGGUUAGAGCAGGUAGCCUAGUGGUUAGAGCAGGUAGCCUAGUAGUUAGAGCAGGUAGCCUAGUGGUUAGAGCAGGUAGCCUAGUGGUUAGAGGCAGGUAGCCUAGUGGUUAGAGCAGGUAGCCUAGUGGUUAGAGCAGGCAGCCUAGUGGUUAGAGCAGGUAGCCUAGUGGUUAGAGCAGGUAGCCUAGUGGUUAGAGCAGGUAGCCUAGUGGUUAGAGGCAGGUAGCCUAGUGGUUAGAGCAGGUAGCCUAGUGCUUAGAGGCAGGUAGCCUAGUGGUUAGAGCCAGGUAGCCUAGUGGUUAGAGCCAGGUAGCCUAGUUAGAGCAGGUAGCCUAGUGGUUAGAGCAGGUAGCCUAGUGGUUAGAGCAAG